GUCUGUUAAACAUCUUAUUUCAUCAAGUUUCCAUAGUGAAGGCCGAGGACGUCUUGGAUUGAAAGCCGUUUGGACGGGAGAAGACAGACUCCCCCGGCUCACUGAUGUUCACCUGCAGGGAUGAAGCUGUUAACUCCAACCGAGCGGACAAACUUUUAGUGCCUGCUCGCUGCUAUGCUGUGAAGACUGGAUGCUCACCUUCACCCUGUCUACACACCCAGAGUCAAGCGAGCCAACAGCAUCCCAAACUGACUGUCCCAUGCGCUUCAGCGACCAAUCGGGUCAUCCCCCGGGUGCCUACAUUUUUCUCGUAAACACAGGUCCUGAUUUGCCCCGAGAAUCAAAUGAUUGGCUUCAGAAAGCCACACCUACCCCCAAGUUCUCUCGGCGUCGCGAGUGUGUCCAAAGAUAAGGUACUAGAGAAGGGACAGGAAAACAAGCCAAUAAUCGAGGGGGCUUGUGUUCUGGAGCGGAGGGGAGAAAAGCAAGCUGACUAAUAUGGACACUAGAAAACAGGGCACGGAAUGUUCAAACAGCAACCACGUACCUUCUGUUCAAACUGUUGUGAACCUAAAACUGUGCUUAAAAAAAAAAAAAAGUCUAUUCAAAAAUUAAAUUCUUUCCCCGUAUUGGUUCGUUUUUCUGUAUUUUUCCUUUGGCUUUAAAAUUUACGUAGACAUAAGUUGUCAGCGAGUUCGGAGAUGCAUGGAUGCUUGAUCGGUUUUCUAAAAUCUUCAAAACCAGUUUUAUCUGGAUUCGGCUGAACUGAAUCAGUGCAAGGUCAUUUUCACACCAGGUGUAGCUCCACUCCCAUUGAGACACAGCCCGAUCCUGACCCUGGCAAACACUAAAAGCACCAACAGCCUCAGAGAUUUUCUCAACCCCUCCUCCAUCUCUCCCCACUUUCCUGGACAAUACCUACUCAAAGGAAGGAGAGGCUGGAUGAAGAGAGUGCUGUGGCCAGCAGGGUCUGAAGUGGGCCAGGCCAAGGAAAGCCCGCAGGAGAUGGAAGAGGUGUCUGCCUCA